CCUCAAUGUGCUUCCCAAUGAAGAUAAAAUCAAAUGGUCCAGCACUCCUCAGUAAUGAUACAUUCCCUUAAAUGUAUACGACCCUGCAAUAGGGUCUUCAUCAAAUUUGACUAAUCCCCCAAUUACAUGGCUUGAUAAAGACUAUUACUGGGUCAAAAUGUUGCUGCUGUGAGUACACAUUAAAGGGUAUACAGAAGUACUGAGGAGUAUCAUAUUGUUUGUUAAAUCUUAUAAGACUGACUUGUGGGCAAUACCAUGACUAGGAAUAGUGUGAUAGACCUCUUCACUCUCCUUCUCAUUGAGAAAC